ACGAAGGUGGCAAGCGUUACUCGGAAUUACUAGGCGUAAAGCGCAGGUAGGUGGUUGUGUAAGUCUGCUGUGAAAGCUCCCGGCUUAACUGGGAGAGGUCAGCGGAUACUGCAUAGCUAGAGUGUGGGAGAGGGUACUGGAAUUCCCGGUGUAGCGGUGAAAUGCGCAGAGAUCGGGAGGAACACCAAAGGCGAAAGCAGGUACCUGGACCAUUACUGACACUAAGCUGCGAAAGCUAGGGGAGCAAACAGGAUUAGAUACCCUGGUAGUCCUAGCUGUAAACGAUGCACAUUAGACGUGAGGGGUUUUGACCCCCCUCGUGUCGACGCAAACGCAUUAAAUGUGCCGCCUGGGGAGUACGGCCGCAAGGUUG
rnacentral:rRNA from 1 species